rnacentral:rRNA from 1 species
UACGUAGGGACCAAGCGUUGUUCGGAUUUACUGGGCGUAAAGCGCACGUAGGCGGCUUUGUAAGUUAGAGGUGAAAGCCCGGGGCUCAACCCCGGAAUUGCCUUUAAGACUGCAUCGCUAGAAUUGUGGAGAGGUAAGUGGAAUUCCGAGUGUAGAGGUGAAAUUCGUAGAUAUUCGGAAGAACACCAGUGGCGAAGGCGACUUACUGGACACAUAUUGACGCUGAGGUGCGAAAGCGUGGGGAGCAACAGG